rnacentral:rRNA from 1 species
AACGAACGCUGGCGGCAGGCUUAACACAUGCAAGUCGAACGGUAAGGCCCUUCGGGGUACACGAGUGGCGAACGGGUGAGUAACACGUGGGUGAUCUGCCCUGCACUUCGGGAUAAGCCUGGGAAACUGGGUCUAAUACCGGAUAGGACCACUGCCUGCAUGGGUGGUGGUGGAAAGCUUUUGCGGUGUGGGAUGGGCCCGCGGCCUAUCAGCUUGUUGGUGGGGUGAUGGCCUACCAAGGCGACGACGGGUAGCCGGCCUGGGAGGGUGACCGGCCACACUGGGACUGUGAUACGGCCCAGACUCCUACGGGAGGCAGCAGUGGGGAAUAUUGCACAAUGGGCGCAAGCCUGAUGCAGCGACGCCGCGUGAGGGAUGACGGCCUUCGGGUUGUAAACCUCUUUCAGCACCGACGAAGCGCAAGUGACGGUAGGUGCAGAAGAAGGACCGGCCAACUACGUGCCAGCCGCCGCCGUAA